AUUGAACGCUGGCGGCAGGCCUAACACAUGCAAGUCGAACGGCAGCGGGGGAUAGCUUGCUAUCCUGCCGGCGAGUGGCGGACGGGUGAGUAAUGCAUGGGGAGCUGCCCAAUCGAGGGGGAUAACAACUGGAAACGGUUGCUAAUACCGCAUACGCCCUGCGGGGGAAAGGUGGGGACCUACGGGCCUACCGCGAUUGGAUGCACCCAUGUGGGAUUAGCUGGUUGGUGAGGUAACGGCCCACCAAGGCGACGAUCUCUAGCUGGUCUGAGAGGAUGACCAGCCACACUGGAACUGAGACACGGUCCAGACUCCUACGGGAGGCAGCAGUGGGGAAUACUGCACAAUGGGGGAAACCCUGAUGCAGCCAUGCCGCGUGUGUGAAGAAGGCCUUCGGGUUGUAAAGCACUUUCAGUGGGGAGGAAGGGGAGUAAGCUAAUAACUUGCUUCAUUGACGUUACCCACAGAAGAAGCACCGGCUAACUCCGUGCCAGCCGCCGCCGUAA
rnacentral:rRNA from 1 species